GGGGCCGCAGUCCUCUACCCCUGCGUGGUGUACGACUGUGGGCCCCAGCGCGCUUGGAAUAAAAAUCCUCUUGCUGUUUGCAUCAAGACCGCUUCUCGACGAAGGCCUGGCCCGCCAGCUGGUGGAGCUAGGCUACCGGGGAACGGGCGAGGUGGUGAAAAGGGAGGACUUCGAAGCAAGGAAGGCAGCUAUAGAGACUGCGAGACUGGCCGAGAGGACCCAGAAAAAAAGGCGUCCUCUGACAGUCAGAAGGUGAAAUUGACUUGGGUCCGAGGUUGCGAAGAGUCCCAGAGUGGGUGACACACUUGCCGUCAGCCGUGUGUAGCACAGAGGUGCCCACUGCCCUUCCUUCCACACAUUCCUUAGACCGUGUCCUGCUGUCUGAGGGAAUGGAUAACAGUGGCUGACACCCAGAAGAGGCUCUGAAAAUAUGGGACAAGUUGGGGGAAAAAUGCCUACUUAAAAGUUAAUUUCUAAAAUGAAAAAAAUGGUCUUCACUAUUUUUCUUAAAAUCAUUGUAACGCUUUUUUUUAAUGUCUUUCAGUUUUAGCAUUUCUAAGCAAUAAAAUGGACACAUGGUAUCUUAAAAAGAGACAUGACUAUAAAUAUGUGUUGGGCAAUUGUAUAAUUCUGGCUUGACAUGUUUGUGAAAUGAGAAUUUGUACAUAGUUUGGUAUCUUCAUGAGGAUAAACAGACAGAAGGAAAAAAGGCCGUAAUUUCAGCUGGUUUCAAAUACAGUUAUUUAUAAUAGUUCAAAAUAAAAAAAAAUAGCAUUACUGGCAACUCUAAAACCCUCAGAAACAUAUCCCUUGAUAAACACAUUCAAACAUUUAAAGCAAUACAGGUAUCAGAAAAGAUAUGCUUACUAUGUAUUGUGAAAAGGUGGGAUCUUGAUCAAAAUGACUGAACUCCCACCAGACUUAAAAUGCGCUCGGACUCCCCGUUUUCCCAAGUGUCUUGACAAAUUCAUCUGCCAAUUUUAACCUUUUCAUUUGUAGUGUUAUUACCUGCUUACAAGUUAUUCCUAUAAAAUCUGUCAGAUGGUAUCUUAAAUUAGAAGAAAAUGGAUUUCUCCAUACAUAUGGAGAAACUGUAUUUCUUAAACGUUGUCAAGAUGUAAAUGUUGAUAGUUAUGUCAUGGAUUGUAUCAGUUUUGACUUUAUUUUUACAGCUUUUCGUUGCAGCUUUCAUAGAAGGUGGGAAGAUGCUCUGAAGCUGUGUGCUUCUGCACUUGGCCCUCACUGACAGGGAGGGACUCCUCGAAGUGCCUCACAUCUGGUCUGCGCCUGGAGGAAGGUGCCACGAGAUGACAGCAUGUACAUGAUUACAAAGCAGGAGGUUUAGGAAGAGCAAUGUAUUUUCGGAAAACAGGGCAAGCACACCACUUGGAAUGUUUUAUCAAGACAGGGAUACAGACGUGAAAAGUAAUCCUUCUGCUCCGUUUGGCAUUAUUGCUGUGUUCGAUUUUGGUCUUUGCAUUUGGCAGAGUAUAUAGAGACUCUGGAGAGGGUGCAGCGAAGAUCCGCCAAAGCCAUGUAAGGUGGGGACCAGCUCCUCGGCGAGGGCUCGGUGGGCGCCGGACUGGCUGCCUUGGAGGAGGAGGAGGACGAAGGGGCGAUUGAACUGUCUUCACGUAGGUGAAAGGCCAUUACCGGGCAGGCGCAGGACAGACGUCCUCUCCUCCCGCGGGAGACGGAAUAAGAGAACGUUUUAAAUUGUAGCCAGAGAGAGAGUUCCGUUGGUCCUGAGGAUGGACAUAUUUAUAGGAAGGGAUUAAACACUGAAGCAGGUCCCCAGGGAGCGUGGGGAGGUUCAGUCCCCAGAGAUGGUUAAAACGAGCGCCCGACAGCCGUCUGCCCGGGAAGGUGUUCGUGUCUCCACCCCAGUGUUUCUUUCUGAAACUCCUCCGAUUUGGAGACUGCGUGGACGUUGUUUCUAGUCUCGUGGAGCUACCCGGAAGACAGUCAGUCAGGAGCAUCCAGCCAGGGAUCGAAGCUAGAACUCAGCCAAGGCCGAGAUCAGAAGGCUACCCGGCGGUCCCCCGAUUGCCCCAGAACUCCUCCGACGCCGUAGGUGUUGGCGACUGGACCAGAGGGGAGGAAGCAUUCUCGACUGUUCCUUUGUAGGACUAUGGUGUACGUGUGCUUUCUUCGCUGAGCUUUCUGAACAUGCCGUGGCAAUCAGGGCAUUUUACUGGCUACUGUUGCAUGGAAGGUGACGCUUUGCACUGAAUGACCUCAGUCACAGGGAAGGGUAUGUGCUGCUUCUUUCACAGAUAGGGAGGCGGAGACGUCGGGAAUUUAGUCACUGGCUUCAGGUCCUUCAGUGCAUCAGUGACAAAGGCAGACUUCUCGGGUGUACUUCUUGUUUGUCUCUUUGUCCCAUUCUUAAGGAGAGGCUCUACGUGCGGCAGUCUUCUCUGUUGAUAAUGGCAGCUUUUGUUAAUCGUGAGACUAGAAUCUGGGUGCAAAAGUAAUAAGCAUCGUUAGGAGAGUGUAGGAAAAUACGUGGUGAAUGGGUGAUGACCAGGACUCAGGUUUGCGGUAGAACUUGGUGAUGUUUGGUGACAGGUGUCGUGAGGAAGUUGCUCGCUUCCCGAAGGCAGCAGUGUGUGCGACCCACGAUGACCACUUCCUUUGGCCCCUUGGGCUGGAAUUAAGACAACUGGAGGGUGGCCUCACGAAUCCUAAAAACUUCGCAGUUCAGAUACGCUUUGGAAUUUGAGCGUCUGCGUUUCCUAAAGACGUGAAUGACCUGGGACGUGGCAAAACUUCCACAGCUAUAGGUUAAACACAAAGUGACAGUGCAACCCAAUUUAGAGGAAAUUUAAAUUAAUGACACAGUGUAUGUUUACUUUGAAGUUGAGUCACUAAGUUUUAACUGUCCUCAGUCAAUACUUCAUUUAGUUGUAUCACUGCCUAAAGUUUGUCUAGCAUUAACUUCAUCUGACUUCUUGUAUUUCUAGUAAAAAUGCUUCUGGGAAAAUGCAAAUUGACAAAAGGGAUCGAACCGUCUGUUUUUUAAACUGAAAAAUUAGCAAUGAGCAUACUACAGCAUUUAUCUCGAUUUUAGAAAAACGGUACCUUUCUUAUUAAUUUAUUCAAUGAAAAACGUUAAGAAGAAACUGGGCGUGUGCUGUGUAGACCACGGUGCAGAGGCUAAGUAACUACCCAGCUAGUACAUGGAAGAGUAGGGAUGCCCAGGCUAUCCCGUGAGCAUAUUUUUGGCCUCAUACUGUGCUGCCCGUCUGUCUGAGACCACUUGCUUAUGCAGAAAUAGCAUAAUCAUUUCGGCCGUCCCACGCUUUCGCGUCCUUAUUUCUGAUUAAGAGUCUGAAUCAACAUGCAGUUCUUGUUUUUUUGCUUGGUGAACACGAAUCAUAGAACCUUUAAGGAACUCGCGGUCCAGAGAGGCGAGGAGCGCCUGCCUCCCACGGAAUGUGGGCUCGGAGCAGGAGGGCCGAGCUGGUGCAGAGACGCACCACCAGCGCAUCCCGAAGCGCAGAGGACGGAGCGGUUCUUUCCCACCUGGCGAGUGUCGUGCGGGGGGCGCUCGCUUAAGGGAGCAGGAGCCGGAGGAUCCGUAUUAAACAGGGAACCGCGAGGCGGGGGGCGCAGACCAUGCGCGGUGGGAAAGAGGGGUAGCAUCUCCUGCAGCUUGUGCGCAGCGAGGCCGCGGGGGCCGCAGCAACGUGCACAUGUGUGUUUCAGUGAUUUGCUGGAUUGUGAACAUCAGGACCUGGCGCCUUGACACGGCUCAUGUAUCCACCCAUCCGGCUGUUCACCUUUAAAAUCAAGUCUCUGGUUAAAGUCAUCUCAGCGUUUAGGCGGUGACUGUCUUCCUCACUGGGUAUGCAUGUUUUCAACCUUAAGAAGCUUUGCAAUGGAGUCUAAAGGGUUUAAGGCCCAAAAUUAGAGCAUUCAUUAAUAUUGUGUGUUAAGGUAGAAAUCUGUUCAUAAUUAGUAUUGAAUUUGCUUCAAAAGAGCAGAUCUCAGCCUUUUAAAAUGAUACCCUGGUUGCUUCAAAUUAAAAUGCGUAAUGGAGUAUGUAGUUUCAACUUGUGGUUUUAUGUAUAAAUGUUUCUAAAUUUGUAUGUUGUGUUAGAACAUUUGAGAGAACUUAAGAUUGUCCUUUUUAUCUGUUUAAUUUGCUAGUACUUUGGAAAGUUUUUUUCCCAAUAAGACAGUCGAAGUAUUUUAAAAGGAAGUGACAUACAUUUGAAUUUAUGAAUACGCUUUCGUAUGUUUGAAGGUAUUUAAUGUUAUGAAUGGAACUGAAUGUCAGUCAAAGACUACUCAAACAGACCCUUAAACAUUUCUAGGCUUAUAACUAAGCUUUAUCAGCAGAGUUUGAAAGGCUUUGAAGAGAAGAAGGUGGUUUGCAUCCCAAAGCUGUCUGUGGGAUGACAUCAGUGGUGGGGUAAAAGUGUAAUCGGAGUGGGUUUGAAAGAGAACGAGAGGAGUGCAAGUGGACAGCAAGCGUGCACGGAACUGUAGACCCAGACUUCAGUGUCAUUCCCUUUAGGUGUUGACUGUGGCGCUGACUGCAGCUUUGAAGUCUCACCUUUAGAUGAUCGUGCAAAUCAUGGGCUUCCUGAGAGGGCCCAGCGUGGAGAGAGAGGACAAGACUUUGUAUGAGCUCACCUGUGACAGCUCCCAGGGUGGGAUUCAGGAGCCAGAGGUGCUUCCAGCUAUGCUGCCAGGGGCUAACACCUGCAAAUGCAACUUAGGACCUGUAGGAAAACCCUGUUUGUAAUGUACAGACUUCUGAGGCUGAAACUCACUCUAUAAGAGUUUAAAAAAAAAGAAAAAGAGGAAGGAAAAUCUGGGACAAUGAAGGGACCAAGAAACUGGAGGAACUAUGGAGAGUAGCUGCUGUAGAAUUCUGGAUAAAAGGGACAGAAGCCCAUUUUAUAGCUGGGUCUCAUAAGGCACCAGAACCUAGGAACUCAAAAAUCAGGAAUGAGACUGUAAUUUGGAAAGAUGUUCACUGCAGCGCUAUUCCCAACAGCCAAGACGUGGAGACAAC
ensembl:lncRNA